rnacentral:tRNA from 2 species
UUUAAUAUGGCAGAAUUUAAGUGCAAUGAAUUUAAGAUUCAUAUAUAAAAUUAUUUUUUAUUAAAA